rnacentral:rRNA from 1 species
AGGCAGCAGUAAGGAAUAUUGGUCAAUGGACGCAAGUCUGAACCAGCCAUGCCGCGUGAAGGAUGAAGGCCCUCUGGGUUGUAAACUUCUUUUAUCUGGGGACGAAACAAGGGCUUUCUAGCUCACUUGACGGUACCAGAGGAAUAAGCACCGGCUAACUCCGUGCCAGCAGCCGCGGUAAUACGGAGGGUGCGAGCGUUAUCCGGAUUCACUGGGUUUAAAGGGUGCGUAGGUGGGCAGGUAAGUCAGUGGUGAAAUCUCCGAGCUUAACUCGGAAACUGCCAUUGAUACUAUC